rnacentral:rRNA from 1 species
GGAAACGAUGUGGGAAGGCACAGACAGCCAGGAUGUUGGCUUAGAAGCAGCCAUCAUUUAAAGAAAGCGUAAUAGCUCACUGGUCGAGUCGGCCUGCGCGGAAGAUGUAACGGGGCUAAACCAUGCACCGAAGCUGCGGCAGCGACGUUUAUGCGUUGUUGGGUAGGGGAGCGUUCUGUAAGCCUGCGAAGGUGGCCUGUGAGGGUUGCUGGAGGUAUCAGAAGU